UAAGUGGUGUACUUCCUCUGUGUUGAAUGU
rnacentral:piRNA from 1 species